GUCCUUUUGAGUUUAAUAUAAGGUUUAACCUGCCCACUGAUUAAUUGAAGGGCCGCAGUAUUUUGACUGUGCAAAGGUAGCAUAAUCAUUAGUUUUUUAAUUAAAAGCUUGUAUGAAGGGUUGGACGAGGUAAAUUCUGUCUCUAAAUAAUGAAUUUAGAAUUUAAUUUUUAAGUUAAAAAGCUUAGAUUAGUUUAAAAGACGAGAAGACCCUAUAGAUCUUUAUAUUAUAUUUAAUAAUUAUAUUUAAGAUUUUUUUAUAAAUUAUUAAAUUUAAUAUUUUAUUGGGGUAAUAAAAAGAUUAAAAUAAUUCUUUUUUUAUUUUCACAUUGAUAAAUGAAUUUAUGAUCCAAUAUUAUUGAAUAAAAGAUUAAGUUACCUUAGGGAUAACAGCGUAAUUUUUUUUGAGAGUUCUUAUCGAUAAAAAAGCUUGCGACCUCGAUGUUGGAUUAAAAAUUAUUUUUGGUGUAGAAGCUAAAAAUUUUGGUCUGUUCGACCAUUAAAUUUUACA
rnacentral:rRNA from 1 species